CCGAAAUUAGAGAGAAUGAGAGAGAGAGAGAGAGAGGCAUGAAAGAGAGAGAAGGAGGAGAAGAAAGGAAGAAGGAGGAGGAGAUCUUAGGGUAUUCAAGGGUGAUUAUCACUUGGGUGUUGAUCAAGUUGUGUUCUUGAUUUUACAAUCAAGAGAGGUAGCAAAAGGUUUCUCUGUGGCAUGCAUGGUGAUGUGGGGAGUUCUAUCGUCCUGGUGUGUAUGGCGUGGGGCAUCCUAUGAACAAGAAACGAUCAACUUUAAACGCCAUUUUUAAUAAUGUUAUGUUUAAUGGGAUUUUCUUUAAAUUGUCA